rnacentral:rRNA from 1 species
GUGCCAGCCGCCGCGGUAAUACGAAGGGGGCUAGCGUUGUUCGGAAUUACUGGGCGUAAAGCGCGCGCAGGCGGUUCGAUAAGUUGGGGGUGAAAUCCCCGGGCUCAACCCGGGAAUGGCCUUCAAGACUGUCGAGCUAGAGGACGAGAGAGGUGAGUGGAAUUCCCAGUGUAGAGGUGAAAUUCGUAGAUAUUGGGAAGAACACCGGUGGCGAAGGCGGCUCACUGGCUCGUUUCUGACGCUGAGGCGCGAAAGCGUGGGGAGCAAACAGGAUUAGAUACCCUUGUAGUCC